UACAGAGGUGGCAAGCGUUGUUCGGAAUUACUGGGCGUAAAGGGCGCGUAGGCGGUUCGAUAAGUCCCGUGUGAAAGCCCCCGGCUCAACUGGGGAACUGCACGGGAAACUGACGGACUUGAGUUCGGGAGAGGGAAGCGGAAUUCCGGGUGUAGCGGUGAAAUGCGUAGAGAUCCGGAAGAACACCGGUGGCGAAGGCGGCCUGCUGGGCAGUAGCUGACGCUGAUGCGCGACAGCGUGGGGAGCAAACAGG
rnacentral:rRNA from 1 species